GUUUAUUGUUCUUCCAAUAAUGCAGUUCUGAAUAGUUGAAAUUUUAUGUGGCCUUAAAAACCUUGUGAUAUAUUCUUAGAGAAAGAAUUGAAUCUGUUCUUUGGGUCCAUGGCAUAUUAAUCCUAGAAGGUAUUUUCCAGUGCUGUUGCUAUAUACAUUUUUAUGAGAACUAAUGCCUACACCAUUGUUGAACUGCGCCUUAAGAAAUAGCAAACGGAUGUUGAAUAUCAUGACUUAAGACAGAAAGAGCAACCCAAAGAAGGAAGCAAGGGGAAAA